UACGGGGGGGGGUAAGCGUUGUUCGGAAUUACUGGGCGUAAAGGGCUCGUAGGCGGCCAACUAAGUCGGACGUGAAAUCCCUCAGCUUAACUGGGGAACUGCGUCCGAUACUGGAUGGCUUGGAUUUGGGAGAGGGAUGCGGAAUUCCAGGUGUAGCGGUGAAAUGCGUAGAUAUCUGGAGGAACACCGGUGGCGAAGGCGGCAUCCUGGACCAAUAUUGACGCUGAGGAGCGAAAGCCAGGGGGAGCAAACGGG
rnacentral:rRNA from 1 species